CGAACGCUGGCGGCAGGCCUAAUACAUGCAAGUCGAACGGCUCUUCGGAGCAGUGGCGGACGGGUGAGUAACGCGUGGGAAUGUGCCCUUAGGUACGGAACAACACAGGGAAACUUGUGCUAAUACCGUAUGUGCCCUUCGGGGGAAAGAUUUAUCGCCUUUGGAGCAGCCCGCGUUGGAUUAGGUAGUUGGUGAGGUAAAGGCUCACCAAGCCGACGAUCCAUAGCUGGUCUGAGAGGAUGACCAGCCACACUGGGACUGAGACACGGCCCAGACUCCUACGGGAGGCAGCAGUAGGGAAUCUUGCGCAAUGGGCGAAAGCCUGGCGCAGCCAUGCCGCGUGUAUGAUGAAGGUCUUAGGAUUGUAAAAUACUUUCACCGGGGAAGAUAAUGACGGUACCCGGAGAAGAAGCCCCGGCUAACUUCGUGCCAGCAGCCGCCGUAACAC
rnacentral:rRNA from 1 species